GUUUCGAAUACCCGCGGAAUCUGAAAUAUAAUAGAAUUCAUAUUUAUAAGAUCAGUGACGUAUUACGAGAUUAAAUCAUCGCCAUGAUGCGACUGAGAAGAGAGAGAACGCAAUUUCAAGAUACGAAUAGGAAAACGACGAGUAAAGUUAAAUCAUCGAACCAAUCGAGUUCGUUGGCGUCCCUUAUUUGAAAUUUGCCAGAUAGUCGAGGCGCGCUCUAUCGGUACGAUAAGGAAACGAUAACGAUGGAGAGAGAGUAUCUACGUGAUGUCGAUUGAGAACCGCUGUCAUCAGCGUGUAGGGGCGUCGUUGCUCUGCGUGCAAUGUGUAUCGUGUAGGCGUUGGCGAAGGAGGAGACGAGUCGGGCAUGUCUCCGUGAAAAAAGAGAGGAGAUAGAAGGGGAGAAGGAAUACAAAAAAAAAAUAAAAAAAUAGAAAAAUAAAAAAGAAAAACACACAAAACGGAAUAAACCCUAUAAAGCUCGGUGCGCUUUCGUCGUUUAAUUUUGCGAUCGUCGCACGUGUGCGUGGCCGCCCGAAAAAAUCAUCGUACAUAUCUCAGGUUCGAUCGAGGACGUGGGCCGUGCCAGCGCGUAACGCGUUCUCGUUCGGUCCGAUGAUUCAAGAGAACGACGAGUAGUCUUUUUGAAGACGGCGAAGGAAGAAGAAAAAAAAGAAAAAGAAAAGAAGUAGUAGAAGAAAAGGAAGAAGAGGA